rnacentral:tRNA from 1 species
AAGGUGCUGUACUUUAUAUAAAAGGUUCGUUUUGCAUGCGAAGAUAGGGCCUAUUUUGCCCCUGGG